UCUUGUCCAUGUCAAUCCAGCGCUAUGACUUCAAUUGAUGCAACAAACCAUCUAGCCCAAAAAUCUCCACUUUUGGAUUUCGAGUGGAGAACUUCGGAGUGUGUUUGUAAGAAUGGCAGCAACAACACCGCUUGACUUUGUUUCAAGGUGGCUAGGAAUGACCCAACGUUAACUGUCACACUCUCAAAACAGUGGCAGAUCGCCUCACAAAACUGCUGCUUGAGCGUCAUCUGUGACUCAAAGAUAAAGAAUACUAGAAACAAUUGAGCCUGCCAAUCCCUGAGUAAGCAGCUGCAUCUUUCCCUUAAGUGGCACGAAGAAGGAAGUGCCAUAGCUGUGAUCUCAUCGACCAGCUUUCUGCAUGGGAAUCCCAGUUGUCCAUAAAAGAUUGCAACAAAGUAUUCCAGGGUGAAAAUCAAGCCUUUCCUGUUAGCA